rnacentral:lncRNA from 1 species
CAGCCGCAUCACCACGCCACUGGUCCCGCUUUCGCUGACGGGUGGGCCCGCGUCACCAGGGGGCUUCCUCUUCCUUGGGCUGUUGCGCGCUGCUCGCCGUGAGCUUCGGGAUUCCGUUGGGAUCACCCUGCUCGCCCUUAUAAAGUCGACCGCCGCAUCAGCGAGCACCUCCCGCAUCUGCCUGUUCUAGGGUAGUCAAACACGAGCACCCUCAGUGGCAACGCGAGAUCCGGGAAGGCGCACAACGAAUCCUCCAUUGACGACCGGGCGUUGCGUCGUCACCUUGGUCAUGGAGUUUUGCUCGGAACCUUCGCCACAGCAUCGGGGUGCGUUGGUGGCAGUGGGUAGUGCGGGGAGUCAUCGCCGCGCCAACAAUUCCUCGUCGUCGUCCCGCUCGGCCGCGAACCCGCCCAACGACGACACCAGGGAGUUCGACUGAAAUCUGCACGGUGAGAACAUCGUUGUGUCAUUUGCCUUUAUGUCAGCUACGUGUAGAGCCUUGCGGGGUAGGGAUUGGGGCUCUGGCGUGUCAAAAUAGUGUUUCUCCGGCGAGGCCUCGCCAUAAUGGCUGGCGGCGCCGCCGCCUGGUAGCGGCGUGAGGAAGAGAAUGUGCCGGGGCGUUGAUCUUGUUAUCGACAGCUCCACAUAGAUGAUAGUGUGGUAUGCGCGUGGCCGUUUGAUCUCACGCGUGCGGCUUAGAUUAAAUCCCAGGGAUACCCUUUCGGUGGUAUAAUCGGCACCGUAGAUCAACGAUCCGAUGGCCGAGGUGUUGUACCGGUUUGUUGAUCUAAUCGUAGCCCUUGAUGCAAGAUCCAUCGGCUGUGGCUCCAAGAUACCCCUUCGGCUAGGUGGUUUUGCAAAAGAGCCCUCCGUUUUCUGAAAAAUAAACCCGCUGUCCACCCUAAUGCUGUUAGUAUUACAGAUCGGCCCAGAACUUUAUGAGUUAGACCCUAGGCUUCUGGAAAAUUGUGAGCGCAGUCCAGAACCCAUAGGAAAUUCAGGAUUAAAUAAGGAAAAUAGGAUUUUAGUAUAAAAAUAAAUCUUGAAACUUGUUUAAUUCAUAUUUAAUUCAUUUUAACUCUAAAUUGAUCCAUUCCAAUUGCAUUAGAUCCAUAAAAAUAUUGUUUAUCCCCUGGUAGCUUUAUUUUGUUAUAAAAUCUAAAUUAAAAUUAUGUACUUAAUAUCUUUUGUACCUGACUCCUAAAUCUUUAGAAAAUCAUAACUUUAUAACCGUAGCUCCAAAUUUAGUGAUUCUCGAACCUAUGAUCUCGUGGCGACGCGUAGAUUAUUAUUAUGUAUCAUGUGCUUAUGUUUGGUGUGAUGUUAAUUUUGCCUAUACGAUGUUUGUUUGUAUUGCUACGACUAGUGCGAGGUCACGAGUCACUUGAAGAGCAAGUUGGUAUUUGUAAUCUCGAGUCCCAGGCAAGUUGUGUCCUUGACCACUCCUUUUUCCCUAAUAAUAUUCACUAUUAAUCAAUGUGACAUGCUCAAGUUAAUUUGAUGGGACCUAAUAGGUUUCCCUAGCAUUGUUUAUCCCUCACCUUGCAGAUAGAUGAAUUAUUGGGUAGAUUUCCUAUUGCUCUACCUUGUUUUGGAAAACUAAUGUUUCAUUACAAUCAUGUUCCAAUUAUGUUGUUGUUUAAUUAUUGUUCAUGAUAAGAUCAUAUUGUUAAUUGGAACAUGGAGAACCACCCGGAAAAACAGUGCCCUUGGCUGACUAAUUAGGACAGCUAGUGGAGGACUACCUUACCCGAAAGGGGCAAGGGCAGUAGGGGAGUGGUCAGUGUAGUGAGGUCCUUGGGUUGAUUUUGUUGCGAUGGCGGUCAAGCGAUGGAUCCUGCAUUGGAGCUUCCUAGAAAUUGUAGAGGGUUUUCUGAAGCUAGUGGAACUUUGUAAAGGCCUCGUAGUGUUACCCUGCCUCGCCUCUUUGGUAGAGGUGUAUGAGAUUCAUGACCCCUUGGCAGAUGUGUAACAUGACUUGUGGGUAAAGAUGUGCAACCUCUGCAGAGUGUAAAACUGGUAUAUCAGCUGUGCUCACGGUCAUGAGCAGCUCAGACACUCACAUGAUUAACUUAUUGAAUUAAACUUAAUUUGUCAUAUGCAUUGCAUUGUGGGUGUUGUUAUCAAUUUUGAUCUACUACUUAUUUGGGUUGGUAUCUACUUAUACUUAGUAAUUGCUAAUAAAUUUUGACCAACUUUAAAAGCAAUGCUCAGCUUUAACCAUCCUCUUUGGUAUGCUUUACACUUCACAUGAGCUCUCACCUUUGGUGAGUUCAUGCACAUUAUUCCCCACAACUUGUUGAGCGAGAAACAUAUGUGAGCUCACCCUUGCUGUCUCACACCCCCACAGGUCAAGAACAGGUACCGCAGGAUGAGGCGCAUGGAGGAUGUUGUGAAGAGUUCGUGAGAGGUCUAGGCCAUCGCCUCCCAGUCAACUUUGGGUUGCUAGAUCAUUGUCUCCAUAUGAUGUAAUUAUUUAUUUAUUUUGUACAGAACUCCGUUAUAUAAUAAUGGCGUGACAUUCAUUUU